rnacentral:lncRNA from 10 species
UCACUGAAAAAGCAUAAAAGAAACAGAGCAUUGUGGUUGAGAGCAGAAACAAACAGGUUGGAGAAUCAGACCCACAGGAUUUCAGACAUUGGAUUUAUCAGAUGCAGUAUACAAAAAUUGUCCUCUCACUGUGACAUCCAGUCAACACUGGCCUUCAUUCUACGCCUGCUGCCCUGAUGAUUGCACGUUAAUGAAGCACAAAGAGGAGUUAUUACUGUCCAUUUAUUUUCCAUCCCCACAGAUAGUAGUAGGACCAGCCUGUCCUCUUCUUAGUAGGUGGAGAAAAAGGCUUAUUAAAUGUCAAAAAUAUUUUGAGUACUUCUUGGACAGCUUCAGGAGUCAAACCACCUGCAAAGAAUCAUCAGGCCUGCCUCCAUUGAAAGCUGUCUAUUGGGAAGGGACUCUGUCACCCACUUGUGGAACUCAUUGAGUUCUGUCAUGUGGCUUCUUCACCAAAAACAUGCCUUAUGAUUCCUCAUUAGCACAGCUUCUCUUUCUAAAGCUAUUUCCUUUGAUGUAGUGCCCCCCCCCCCAACUAUCUACAUCUCAUUUCAAUUUUACAGCCUCUAUUCUCUGUCCUUGUUUGCAUAGCAGCAAAGGAAAUCUUAAUUGCUUUGUAUUUAUAGUCAGAGUCUAAACUGUUGGAUUAAUUCAUGUAUCAAUUCUGAAAUUCAUUAAAUAAAUAUUGAUUAAAAGAACACUUUUAAUAUACACUGUUAUAAGGAUAUACACUGUUAUAAGGAUAUACACUGUUAUAAGGAUACAACAGUUGAGUAAGACACUUUGGAAAUAGAUAAUGGUGAUGAACACACAAUGCUGUGAAUGUAAUUAAUGCCACUGAAUUGUGUAUUUUAAAGUGGGCACUAUGGAGAAUAAUAUGAAGGUUUUUCAAAAAAACUACAACUAGAAUGGCCAUGUCAUUCAACAAUCUCACUACUGGGAAUUUAUCCAAAGAAAAGGAAAUUAUUAUUUCAAAGAAACAUCUGCACUCUCAUGUUUAUUGCAGCACUAUUAAUAAUAGCCAAGAUAUGGAACCAGCCUAGGUGUCCAACAACAAAUGAAUGGAUAAAGAAAAUAUGGCAUAUAUACACAGUGGAAUACCAUUCCGCCACAAAAAGGAAUAAAAUCCUGUCAUUCAUGGCAAUAUGGAUAUAACUGGAUGACAUUUUGUUAAGUAAAAUAAGGCAGGUAUAGAAAGUUAAACUCCUCACGUUCUUUCAUAUGUGAAAGCUAAAAGAAGUUAAUCAUGGAAAUGAAAAGUAGAAUGCAGGAUACUAGAGGCCGGGAAGGGUAGGUGGAAGAGGGAGUUAGGGAGAAAUGUGUUAAAGGAUACAAAGUUACAGCCACAUAGGAGGAAUAGGUUCUAGUGUCCUAUACCAGUAUAGGAUGACUAUAGUUAAUAACAAUACAUUAUAAGGUUUCAAAUAGCAAGAAGGAAGAUAUUGAAUGCUCCCAACACAGAGAAAUGACAAAUGUUUGAGAUGAUGGGCGUGUUAAUUACCCUGAUCUGAUCACUAUUAUACAUUAUACAUAUCAAAACAUCACUAUGUACCCCAUGAAUAUGUACAAUUAUUAUUUGUCAAUUAAAAGAAUUAAGAAGUUUAUGUUCCAUAUAUUUACUGCAAUAAGAAAAAUGCUUUACCAAAAAAAGCAAUGAAUAAGACAGUCCUGGUCUUCACAGUGCCCAAAGUCUAGUAAGAAAGACAGACCUAUGAAAUAAAGUAUUGUUGGUGAGAAUAUAGAAAGAUGUAAAGGACACGGUGAAUGCAAAGGAGGAUACUGUGAGCUAAAUUCACCUUUUUAUUUUAUUUGUCUUUGUUUUGCUUUUUAGUUAGUGGCAUCUGUUAGAGACAGUUUCUUGAAGUGAGGACUCAAAGAUGAGCAAUUCUCGAGAAACCAGAGGCCCAAGCUCCCUGAAACACUGGAUGCUGUGAUGCAGGCAAUAACAUUUGAAUGACAGUAGAAACCUUGGGUAGUUUAGUCCUAAAUUCAGUACUUCUUUCUACCAUCAUUAAUUUGUCCUACCCAGGACAGAGACUAGGGACUAGUGAGACCCCUAUUUCAUAAAUAAAUAAAUAAAAUUUGUAAAAAAGAGACAGAGGCAUCUAGGGUGCAAAAUUUAAGGAGGCAUUCCCUCUAAGGGACAGGCUGACUUGCAUGACCUUGAAAGUGAGCACCUCCUUUAAUAAUACCCUUAUGAUCAUCAUGGUCCAUAGUAUCCUUCCUGCAGUUGCCUGUUUCCUUGCCUGCCUCCCUAUAUGAACUAUAAAUUGUGCCAUGCGCAUCUUUUUAUCUACUGGGGCUAGAACAAAGUAUGGCACAUAGAAAACACCCAAGGAAUAUUAGUUUGAUUUGGGAAACAUUUUUAAAAUAAAGAAAUGCAUGGCCACAAUCCACUAUAUCCCCUAGGAACCAAGCUCUUCAGACUCUCUUCUCCUUGGCUUCCAUCUCUGUCCUGUCAAGCUGAAGUUUGUUCAGGGUUCAUGUUCUCUGAAGGCUUCCAAGUAGAUACUGUGUCAGUGCCUCUGGAACCCUUCUACUCACCUUUUAUCAGGUUUUUUUCCUCCCUGUGAUUGAUUUUGAAUAGUUGCUCUAUCUUCAAGUCCACUGUCAAAUCCACCAUAAAUUCCAUUCAGAUAAAUUCUCAUUUUAAAUAUUGUAUUUUUUUUAUCUCUAGAAGCUCCAUUGGUUCUAUUUGUAUCUUCUAUUUCUUCACUACGUUUGCAUUUUUCUUUACAUUCUUGGGCACACGGAAUAUACUUAUAGAAACAAUUUCAAUGUCCUUGUUCAUUAAGUUCAUCAUCUCUGUUAUUUCUGGGUAUCUUUCAACUAAUCGAUGUUUCUCCUAGCCGUGGGUCACAUUUUCUUACUUCUUAUGGCUGAAAGUGGAAGUCAAUCCUCACUGUUUUUUUCAUACACAUUUUCAACCUUGUUCUAUUAAAUUAAACAUGACUUUCCCUUGAUGACAGAGCUUGACAGAACUUCCCUCUCAUCUUCACCCGAUGGAUCAUUUUCUCAAUAUCUUCCUCUCCCAGGACCAGGAGGAGGUGUUAGAAGUGACUUUAUCACACUGUUGUUUCUUAGUAAUUAUUCACCUGAAUGUUUUGUUUUGACACACCCAGAAUGGACUUCCACUACAUAGUCCUUUUCUCUAUGAUGUAUCUCUACACCUCCAGGAGUCUCUAUCUUCCUUUUUAGAAGUUCUUAGCGUUGAGUUUACAGUUUCUUUGUCCUAUAUCCUAUUUCCUUUCCUAUUUCCUCAAACUAUCUUGAGUCUUACUUCAAGCAGAAAGUCAAACCAAGUAUAAGUUUCCUCAACUCUGUUCAUCUCCAAAUUUCAUUUCUCUGUACAUUUGCUAAUAUUUUCUUCCCUCCCCUGUCUCCUUGUGGAAUGUGACCACUCUUGGGAAUAACCUUAUUCCCUCCUUCUAUGCACUUGAGUAUAUCCCCAUGGAUUCUCCUAAGCAUUGCUCCUACAAACAUGCUCCUUCUUUUUCCUUCUACUUGCCCAUGGAUAAUGAAUCCCUCAAACAGAUGUAUGCUUUGUUCUUGGUAUAUUAAUAAUAGCCAUCAUAAAAUGUGUCUUGAUUCAUGCCUUAUACUUUCUUAGGUGCUUUUCCUCUUUUCUCUCUUGUACUGGGUAUAUCUUUUAUUCCAGAAAGCUAAUUUUGAUAAUUCCAUUUCCAG